rnacentral:rRNA from 1 species
GGAUUUACCCAUUGGUCAGGCUUAAUUGUCUGUACUGGUGAGAUAAAUCUCCACCUUCUGAGGAACUUUCAUGUCAUUAAUUUGGUGUGAUUGGAAAUCAGGACUGUUACUUUGAAAAAAUUAGAGUGUUCAAAGCAGGCCUAUGCCCGAAUACAUUAGCAUGGAAUAAUAGAAUAGGACAUCGGUUCUAUUUUGUUGGUUUCUAGGACCGCUGUA